rnacentral:misc_RNA from 1 species
GAUGAAGAACGUAGCGAAAUGCGAUACGUAAUGUGAAUUGCAGAAUUCAGUGAAUCAUCGAGUCUUUGAACGCACAUUGCGCCCCCUGGUAUUCCGGGGGGCAUACCUGUCCGAGCGUCAUUGCUGCCCUCAAGCACGGCUUGUGUGUUGGGCCUCCGUCCUCCUCCCGGGGGACGGGCCCGAAAGGCAGCGGCGGCACCGCGUCCGGUCCUCGAGCGUAUGGGGCUUCGUCACCCGCUCUUGUAGGCCCGGCCGGCGCUUGCCGACACAUCAAUCUUUUUUCCAGGUUGACCUCGGAUCAGGUAGGGAUACCCGCUGAACUUAAGCAUAUCAAUAAGCGGAGGA